rfam:Peniophora sp. CONT PENSPscaffold_67_Cont115, whole genome shotgun sequence.
UCUUUGAUAGCUCAGUGGUAGAGCGUGGAAUGACAAUAUCGUUUGACGUGUCGCAAAUUUGUUCCAAGGUCGCCAGUUCGAAUCUGGCUCAGAGGA